UACAGAGGUCCCAAGCGUUGUUCGGAAUUACUGGGCGUAAAGGGCGCGUAGGCGGCACUGUUAGUCAGGCGUGAAAGUCCUGGGCUCAACCUGGGAACUGCGCUUGAUACGGCAGAGCUAGAGGAUGGAAGAGGCUCGCGGAAUUCCCAGUGUAGAGGUGAAAUUCGUAGAUAUUGGGAAGAACACCGGUGGCGAAGGCGGCGAGCUGGUCCAUUACUGACGCUGAGGCGCGACAGCGUGGGGAGCAAACAGG
rnacentral:rRNA from 1 species